rnacentral:rRNA from 1 species
GAUGAACGCUAGCUACAGGCUUAACACAUGCAAGUCGAGGGGUAACGAGAGGAAAGCUUGCUUUCCUUGUCGACGACCGGCGCACGGGUGAGUAACGCGUAUCCAACCUGCCCCCAACUAAGGAAUAACCUUGCGAAAGUAAGACUAAUACCUUAUAAUUUCCUCAGAUGUCAUCUGACGAGGAAUAAAAAUCUAUCGGUUGUGGAUGGGGAUGCGUCUGAUUAGCUUGUUGGCGGGGUAACGGCCCACCAAGGCAACGAUCAGUAGGGGUUCUGAGAGGAAGGUCCCCCACAUUGGAACUGAGACACGGUCCAAACUCCUACGGGAGGCAGCAGUGAGGAAUAUUGGUCAAUGGGCGGAAGCCUGAACCAGCCAAGUAGCGUGCAGGAUGACGGCCCUAUGGGUUGUAAACUGCUUUUAUACAGGAAUAAAGUUAGCCACGUGUGGUUAUUUGUAGGUACUGUAUGAAUAAGGACCGGCUAAUUCCGUGCCAGCCGCCGCGGUAA